rnacentral:rRNA from 1 species
UACGUAGGCAGCGAGCGUUGUUCGGAAUUAUUGGGCGUAAAGGGCGCGUAGGCGGUGCGGUAAGUCACCUGUGAAAUCUCCUGGCUCAACUGGGAGCUUGCAGGCGAAACUGCCGUGCUGGAGUGUGGGAGAGGUGCGUGGAAUUCCUGGUGUAGCGGUGAAAUGCGUAGAUAUCAGGAGGAACACCUGUGGCGAAAGCGGCGCACUGGACCACAACUGACGCUGAGGCGCGAAAGCUAGGGGAGCAAACAGG